rnacentral:rRNA from 1 species
GAUGAACGCUGGCGGCGUGCCUAAUACAUGCAAGUCGAGCGAACAGACGCGGAGCUUGCUCCUCUGACGUUAGCGGCGGACGGGUGUGUAACACGUGGAUCACCUACCUAUAAGACUGGGAUAACUUCGGGAAACCGGAGCUAAUACCGGAUAAUAUAUUGAACCGCAUGGUUCAAUAGUGAAAGACGGUUUUGCUGUCACUUAUAGAUGGAUCCGCGCCGCAUUAGCUAGUUGGUAAGGUAACGGCGUACCACGGCGACGCUGCGUAGCCGACCUGAGAGGGUGGUAGGCCACACGGGAACUGAGACACGGUCCAGACUCCUACGGGAGGCAGCAGUAGGGAAUCGUCCGCAAUGGUCGAAAGCCUGACGGAGCAACGCCGCGUGAGUGAUGAAGGUCUUCGGAGCGUAAUACUCUGUUAUUGGUGAAGAACAAAUGUGUAAGUAAAUAUGCACGUCUUGACGGUACCUAGUCAGAAAGCCACGGCUAACUACGUG